rnacentral:rRNA from 1 species
GAUGAACGCUGGCGGCGUGCCUAAUACAUGCAAGUCGAGCGAACAGACGAGGAGCUUGCUCCUCUGACGUUAGCGGCGGACGGGUGAGUAACACGUGGAUAACCUACCUAUAAGACUGGGAUAACUUCGGGAAACCGGAGCUAAUACCGGAUAAUCUAUUGAACCGCAUGGUUCAAUAGUGAAAGACGGUUUUGCUGUCACUUAUCGAUGGAUCCGCGCCGCAUUAGCUAGUUGGUAAGGUAACGGCUUACCAAGGCAACGAUGCGUAGCCGACCUGAGAGGGUGAUCGGCCACACUGGAACUGAGACACGGGCCAGACUCCUACGGGAGGCAGCAGUAGGGAAUCGUCCGCAAUGGGCGAAAGCCUGACGGAACAACGCCGCGUGAGUGAUGAAGGUCUUCGGAUCGUAAAACGCUGUUAUUAGGGAAGAACAAAUGUGUAAGUAACUAUGCACGUCUUGACGGUACCUAAUCAGAAAGCCACGGCUAACUACGUG